ensembl:lncRNA
CCCAACCUUUACUACCCCGCCGCGCCGCCCCGCCCCUCCGGUCCGAGCCGCGGGAAUGAAUGGAGGGAAGGCGGCGCGCGGGCGCGGCCCACGUCACCGCCUCCAUUCACAAAAAAGGGCUCGCGCCGGCCCGCCAUCUUCGCUGCGUUUUUGUGAAUGGGGAAAGGCGGCGGGAGGGGCGGCGUUGCGGGGAGCCGCGCUGCGAGCGGGAGGCGGCCCCGGUUUGCGAGGGGGUCACCCCCUGCGCCCCCCCCCCCCACACACACACCUUGGUGGGUCACCCCCGCGUGGCUCACACACACACACACGCACACACCAACCUCAGGACACGCGCUCACGCUCGUGCUCUUUCUCCCUUUGUCCUUUAGCGCGUGUUGCUCUCGGGCACGAUUCCCGAUUCCCCCCGAGCGCACCUCUGCCACCACCGUGGCACCGCACUGCCCCCCUCUCCUCCCCCAUCAGAAAGGGACGGUGAAACGGCAGCCGGCCGGGAAGCACAGCGCAUCUUUGGUGUGACCAUUACUCAGUGGCUGAAGGAGGGUGCGGUGAGCAGUGAUGCUGUGCACAAGGAAACACCACGACAUCGGAAAAUGCAACAUGGAGGGGGAAGGAUGCAGCCAGCGAGGCCCCAAAGGGCAGGGCAACGGCGACAAAGUGCAGGGAAGAGGAAGUAAAAGGAAAAAAAGAGGAACAACCAGCCCUCUACUGCGGGUCCCCUGGGCAAGGUGUGCAAGAGCACGUCCCCCAAGCGUGCUGCUUUGAAAUGGUGCCUGAAAACCAUGGCCCAACGCUUUCUCGGAGGUGACUUUGAGACCAUCCCAGCAGAAAGAGGGGCUCACAGGAGCCCAUCUGCCAGCAUCAUGAUGACCCCAGGGGGUUCUGUUUGAAGAAGAUAAACUUGGAGAUGAUUUACCCAGCAGCAAAGGGCCUCAGCUAAGUUACCAGCACACUAAGGGAGCCUUGUUAAUUGGGAUUAGUGCCACGGAUCCCCACAAACAUCAAAGCCAGAGAGAGAACCCCAACCCACGGCAGUCCCUGCAUGGUACACUGGUUUCAAUUCCACUCAAAACUCCUCCUGGGAUUAAAGACUGAAGAG